GGACGAACGCUGGCGGCGUGCUUACCCCAUGCAAGUCGUACGGUAAGGCCCUUUCGGGGGUACACGAGUGGCGAACGGGUGAGUAACACGUGAGUAACCUGCCCACAACUUUGGGAUAACGCUAGGAAACUGGUGCUAAUACUGGAUAUGUGCUCCUGCUGCAUGGUGGGGGUUGGAAAGCUCCGGCGGUUGUGGAUGGACUCGCGGCCUAUCAGCUUGUUGGUGGGGUAGUGGCCUACCAAGGCGGCGACGGGGAGCCGGCCUGGGGGGGUGAUCGGCCACAGUGGGACUGAGAGACGGCCGAGACACCUACGGGGGGAAGAAGUGGGGAAUAUUGCACAAGGGGCGCCAGCCUGAUGCAGCAACGCGGCGGGCGGGAUGACGGCCUUCGGGUUGUAAACCGCAUUCAGCAGGGACGAAGCUUUUUGUGACGGUACCUGCAGAAGAAGCACCGGCUAACUACGUG
rnacentral:rRNA from 1 species